rnacentral:tRNA from 1 species
UGCAGGGUAGUGUAAUGGUAAAACGCUGGACUCAUUAUCCAGAGAUUGAGGGUUCGACUCCCUCCCCUGAAACCA